AUUGAACGCUGGCGGCAUGCCUUACACAUGCAAGUCGAACGGCAGCAUGGAGAGCUUGCUCUCUGAUGGCGAGUGGCGAACGGGUGAGUAAUGCAGCGGAACGUACCGUGUAAUGGGGGAUAACGUAGCGAAAGUUACGCUAAUACCGCAUACGACCUGAGGGUGAAAGCAAGGGAUCGCAAGACCUUGCGUUAUACGAGCGGCCGAUGUCGGAUUAGCUAGUUGGUGAGGUAAAGGCUCACCAAGGCGACGAUCUGUAGCGGGUCUGAGAGGAUGAUCCGCCACACUGGGACUGAGACACGGCCCAGACUCCGACGGGAGGCAGCAGUGGGGAAUUUUGGACAAUGGGGGCAACCCUGAUCCAGCCAUGCCGCGUGAGUGAAGAAGGCCUUCGGGUUGUAAAGCUCUUUCGGCCGGGAAGAAAUCGCACAGGCUAAUACUCUGUGUGGAUGACGGUACCGGCAUAAGAAGCACCGGCUAACUACGUGCCAGCCGCCGCAGUAA
rnacentral:rRNA from 1 species